rnacentral:rRNA from 1 species
UGUAAGCGUAUACCAAAGUUGUUGCAGUUAAAACGCUCGUAGUCGGAACUUGGCCGUGUCGGAUGAGUGCACGUCGUGUGCGCGCAUUGCAGAUAUGGCUUUUGUGGUUUUUGCGUACGAUUAGGCACGUUUAUUCGUGAACGUCGUUCCGCAGCCACUCUUUACUGUGAGAAAAUCAAAGUGCUCAAAGCAGGCAUUUGCCGUGAAUGUAUUAGCAUGGAAUAAUAGAAUAGGACUCGGUUCUAUUUUGUUGGUUUGUUGGGGCUGAGUAAUGAUUAAGAGGGACAGUUGGGGGCAUUUGUAUUUCGGCGCUAGAGGUGAAAUUCUUAGAUUGCCGAAAGACAAACUGCUGCGAAAGCGUCUGCCAAGGAUGUUUUCAUUGA